UAAAGUUAUUCUUUGAAUGUCUCUCUCUUUUAAACACAAAUCACUAACAACAUUGUGUAUGUAACUCUGGAAACUCACAGAAAAACUGAAAUAAUAAAGUUUUUCAUGUAUCUUCCUUCCGGUUUGUCAGAAGUAACACAACAAAGACCUUAGCUAAGUAAUUUGCGACAGUGUACAAACUUUAUCUUUAUGACGACCCUUUGUAACUCACUACCAAUUAAUGCGCCAUCGCUAGUGAGUAUCUCUAGAAUCGUACGCAAACUAAAAUAUGUCUAAACUAAAAUUAUAUACCAUUAGAUCUUAUCAUUAUUAAAAUACUGCCGCGAGAUAUUGCGUAAUAGCUUAAAUCUGAUCAUAACUAUAUGUAAUGAUUGCCUUCUUCAGAUUGCUCUCCUAGGAAAAUAUUAACCGAAAUCGUCUGAUUUGAUAUUAGAUUAUGAGGUUGAGUGCUAAAGGCAACAUAAUAAGCGCUAAUUAUCUAAUAAUAUUAAUGGAAAAUGGUUUUUCUUAUUAUAAUAAUAAAAAUAUCGGUAAUUUCUUAUAAUAUACAUGCACAUAAUAUGCACCAAAAUUCAUAAUAAACGAAUAGGAUUAAAAUCAUUGCAUAAUAUGUUUGUUUUUUAUAUGUUUUUAUUGUUAAAAAGAAAAUUUAUUGUUAAAAAGGAAAUUAAAUGAAUACUCUCUUGCCAAAGAAGGCCAUUAAAAUUGGAAUUAUACCAUUAAAAUUGGAAUUAUACUAAUCAAUUGCAGAUAUCAAAUAUCAACAGAAAUGUAAUUACAAUUCAAAGAAAAGGAGUCUAAACUAUUGGUAAAUAGAACCCUUGAAAUCGGGUUUACGUCAUACAAAUUAAUGAAAAUAAAUUUUCGAUGCGACUCGGAAAUCUAUUAUUACCGCAAUUAAAAAUUCCACUUUCCGUACUAUUGGUAAUUAAUCGAGUUCUGUACCAUCGAAAAUCAAUAUCUGUCAUUCAUGUCAAGAUCUAAGACCUAAUAUCGCGUAUAAUCAAUAUUAUUCUAUGACAUUAAAAAUGACUGCUUACAAUUUUAUUGAAGAUCAAUAAUUUCUCUUAUUUUCAAUUCCACAGUUUUGAGAAUAUUCAUAAGUAUUACUUAAACACACACAUAAUUAUAAAAAUAUUUUCAGUUUGUUUAAUAAAUAUCUAUGUGUAGUUUAAUUAUUAUUAUUAAUAUUGUUUAAUAAAUAUCUAUGUAUAGUAAAUAUAAAUAUAAUGGUAGAGAUAUCUUUAAUAACAUUAAACAAAUAGAUAGUAAAGAACAAUAACCAAAUUUAUUAAAGAGAGAGAGAGAGAGAGAAAGAAAGAGAUAGAAAUAUCGUCGAGAUGGAUUUAUAAUUAUUUCUUAUUUGUAAAAUCUUGUAAAAAUUUAUAAAGUCGUACAACACUCACACAUAAAGCUGAGUAGUAAUAAAUUUAUAAAAUCUAUAAAAGAAAAAGACUGAGAAAAAAUAUGGAAGUCAUAAAUAAGAGUCGAUAAAACUCAUUUCCUUACUCUACGCGCAAUAGCAUAGCAUAACUAUUCCACUCAGAGGUGACGACGUGAACAGGAAGUAUAGUAAUUUGAAUUCCUUCACAUUCUUUCUCUCUAUGUGAAAUGCCUUCGAAGCGUGCAUAAAAGUAACGCAAAUUCGCACGAUUUUGAUUCUUGUGAUUGACAGGUCAAUUUCACUUUAAAAAAUUUUUUUGUUUCCAAUAAGAAAUCUUAUUUCUAGAGAUCGAUUCAUAUGUUACAUACGUUACGGACAGUAUCCGUUAAUCUUAGCAAAUAAUCGAAACCGUGUCACGGAAAUAGGAUUGAUACUACCUUGAAGUGACAGCCCGCAGAUAUAUCUGGAAUAACGAUCGAUUGCAUGCCGUAUAAUCUAGAACGAAAAUUGUAAAAGCGAAUGUUUAUAUAAUUAACUCAGGUAGCAAGCACAUACAAUUUUGAUGUGCACUUUCUACUUGGAAGAGAAGUAACUUUACGAUAAAAAAUACAAAAUUUCUUACGUAAGACUGUGCUAUAACAAAUCCCCGAGAUGGUCGAUUUCAAGUUUUAAUUUGAAAUAAUUGUAAUAAAUAUUGUGUUCUACAUGAAAUUUAGAAAUUUAAAAACGAUACGAGUGUACACCAACACAAAGAUGCACUAGAUAUUUGCUAUCUCAAUUAACAAAAAAAAAAUGACGAGAAUAGAAGAUCGCAAAAAAAUUUAAUAAUGUUUUCGAUUGAACGGAUUUUGAUCGACGCAAGGUUAAUUAAUCAUUGCAUCGUUUCUGCGUCAAUAAUAGACUUGAAUUUAUAGUAUAACAGUGAUUAAUUGAUCCGGGAUGGAUCAAAAUCCGUUCACUCGAAAAUGCUAUAUAUGUGUUGAGAAGACACUUACCCUUUUAUACUUAUCAACACGAUUAUUAAUAAAACCCUUCUCAUUUUGAUGUAUAACGAUACAAUAUAGUGCUUUAGUAAAGUGAAAAUAAUGACUGUGUAAUAAAAUUACUACUGACCUGACUCGUGAACUUGCGAAAAUCUAAUUUAUAUCAGAGAGAAACCCGGAGAGCGCGGCUGCCGUUAUUGUUACAAUUUUAAAUUUUUCGUAUGGCAGCGCCAUCACAAUUGCUUUUGCUGGGAGCUGGAAUUAUUUUUAAAAUGACGAUUUUACCGGCAGUAUAUCGAUAAGCUGUGAUGUAUGAUGGCGCUGCUGUGCGAGAGAAUUGUCAUAUGGUUAUAUCGAAAAUGUCAGAGCAUGAUUACUUUGGUUUCAACUUAUCAAAAUAACUUUAUAAGAAAUAGAUGCGUCAUAUGAAAUAUUUAUUAUAAAACUCUCGUGCUCUGAAAUAAAAUAAAAAAAAAAAAUGGAAAAAAGUAUUAGUAAGAUACUUGAUAUAUCUUGGAGAUUCGGAGUAACUGCAGCAAGUAAUGAUUCCGACAAUGUUGCAAAGUCAUUUCUGCAACUUAAAUUACGUCUUGACAAUGAUGGUAAAAUCAAGAAUGUAUUUACUGAGAUGACAAUAGGGCAAUUUUAUAAAUUUCUACAUGAUUUACAAAAGGCAAAAUGUAAUCUUGAUUUGUUACUGUAAGCAAAUAUAUGUGUUAAAAUAA